UCUGGGCUGAGACCUGGAGGAUGCUGGGAAAUGAGCCGGUGGAGGAGACAUAUUCCAGGCAAGGGAGGGAGCAGUAACUGCAAAGACCUAGAGGGCAGCCUUGCCAGACUUGAAGCUGUUCCCAAUUUCCUCUCAUUAUAAAUAAUGCGCCCAUGCACAUCCUUGUGCGUCCCGAGGCGAGAUUCCUGGGCCAAAGGGUGCGGAUGCUUUGGCAGCGCCUGAUCAAAUCUCGGCAGAGUCACUGCAUGACCCCCAGCUAAAGUGACUUCAUAUGGUUAAAGUGAGAUUACGCUGCUAUUUGUUAUUUCUAUGUUUGAUUCAUGACUCAGGUUUGAGAAAGGAUGUCUCCCCCUUUCCUUUUGGAUGUGCUCAGUUGUAGGAACAGAAAGCCAUUCGCACUGUCUCAUGCCUGAAAGGAUUCUUCAGCAAGUAGAGUUGAUGCAGUAGCUCUUCCUCAUCUGAUGGGGAUGAGUUUUAAGACUUCCCUCCCACCACCAUCUUGGAUACCUGAAACUGCAGAUAGUGACAAACAAAGGCUAUACAGAACCUCUGUAAUGAGACAACUAACCUGAGAGCCCUGAUGGACAGGCAGUGUAUACUGCAUGGAUACUCUGGAUAAAGGGUAGGAGUUCCCAAGAUGGUCGCCACCAGCCUCCUGCCACAGGAGCCUCCUCUAUCCCACAGGCAGAGGGCCACCUUUGCCUCAGAUUUCCCACUGAAGUAACGAACUUCUGCUGCACCUAGGAGGAGCACAUCAAAAUCAAGAAGAAGCCAAUUUUAUUUUCCUGUAAGCCUUGCAAGCCAUGUGGGGCCUAGGAAGAGAGAAGCCAGAUGACUUCUCCAGUGAGCCAACCUGCACGGGCUGAGAAUCAAGGUCCUCCCUCCCCCAGCAACAGGCUGAUUCAGGGGACAGGCUGAGUUGAUAGUAACUGAGAUACAAAAACAACCGAGUGCUUGUAUUGUUUGAUUGACUUUGCAGGCUGAGCAUCUAUCAGGAUACCGGUAUGCAAUAUAGCAAAUAUAGGGCAUUUCCUUUUGUCCUAUUUUUGAAAUCCAAUAUUGUUCCCAUUGUUUUGUUUUGUUCUAUUUAUUGUUUUGCUUUAUUCAAUGUUCUGUUUUGAUUGGUUUUAUUCUGUUUUUUUAUUUGAUUUUACUGUGUCUGACGGAAUGAACAACUACUGUGAAGACAAGAUAUACUAUAGUAGCUAUUGUUAAUUUCCUGUUACCCUGCUUAAAAGUUCUGUACCAUUUUCACUGUUUUGAUUGGCUUUAUUCUGUUUUGUUGGUUUUUAUUAUCUUUAAAAUAAAAAAAAAAUAAUGAGGCUGACUCUGA